rnacentral:rRNA from 1 species
CCAAUAGCGUAUAUUAAAGUUGUUGCAGUUAAAAAGCUCGUAGUUGAACUUCGGGGUCUACCCAUUGGUCAGGCUUAAUUGUCUGUACUGGUGAGAUGGAUCUCUACCUUCUGAGGAACUUUCAUGCCAUUUAUUUGGUGUGGUUGGAAAUCAGGACUGUUACUUUGAAAAAAUUAGAGUGUUUAAAGCAGACUAUCGUCUGAAUACAUUAGCAUGGAAUAAUGAAAUAGGACGGACUGAUUCUAUUUCGUUGGUUUCUAGGAUCACCGUAAUGAUUAAUAGGGAUAGUUGGGGGCAUUAGUAUUCAAUUGUCAGAGGUGAAAUUCUUGGAUUUAUUGAAGACUAACUACUGCGAAAGCAUUUGCCAAGGAUGUUUUCAUUAAUCAAGAACGAAAGUUAGGGGAUCGAAGACGAUCAGAUAUCGUCGUAGUCUUAACCAUAAACUAUGCCGACUAGGGAUCGGACGAAGUUAAUUUUAUAAUGACGCGUUCGGCACCUUACG